rnacentral:tRNA from 1 species
GAGAGUAUAGCUCAGGGGUAGAGUAUGUGCUUAGCAUGCACAAGGUCCUGGGUUCAAUCCCUAGUACCUCCA